UGCAAGUCGAGCGGUAGAGAGAAGCUUGCUUCUCUUGAGAGCGGCGGACGGGUGAGUAAUGCCUAGGAAUCUGCCUGGUAGUGGGGGAUAACGUUCGGAAACGAACGCUAAUACCGCAUACGUCCUACGGGAGAAAGCAGGGGACCUUCGGGCCUUGCGCUAUCAGAUGAGCCUAGGUCGGAUUAGCUAGUUGGUGAGGUAAUGGCUCACCAAGGCGACGAUCCGUAACUGGUCUGAGAGGAUGAUCAGUCACACUGGAACUGAGACACGGUCCAGACUCCUACGGGAGGCAGCAGUGGGGAAUAUUGGACAAUGGGCGAAAGCCUGAUCCAGCCAUGCCGCGUGUGUGAAGAAGGUCUUCGGAUUGUAAAGCACUUUAAGUUGGGAGGAAGGGCAGUUACCUAAUACGUGAUUGUUUUGACGUUACCGACAGAAUAAGCACCGGCUAACUCUGUGCCAGCAGCCCGCGGUAAUACAGAGGGUGCAAGCCGUUAAUCGGAAUUACUGGGC
rnacentral:rRNA from 1 species